rnacentral:rRNA from 1 species
UUGGCGACCGGCGCACGGGUGAGUAACACGUAUCCAACCUGCCGAUGACUCGGGGAUAGCCUUUCGAAAGAAAGAUUAAUACCCGAUGGCAUAGUUCUUCCGCAUGGUAGAACUAUUAAAGAAUUUCGGUCAUCGAUGGGGAUGCGUUCCAUUAGCUUGUUGGCGGGGUAACGGCCCACCAAGGCAUCGAUGGAUAGGGGUUCUGAGAGGAAGGUCCCCCACAUUGGAACUGAGACACGGUCCAAACUCCUACGGGAGGCAGCAG